UGGGGAAUUUUCCGCAAUGGGCGAAAGCCUGACGGAGCAAUGCCGCGUGUGUGAAGAAGGCCUGCGGGUUGUAAAGCACUUUCAGUAGAGAAGAAAAGCCUAGGGUUAAUACCCCUGAGUCUUGACGUUACCUACAGAAGAAGCACCGGCUAACUCCGUGCCAGGAGCCGCGGUAAUACGGUGGGUGCGAGCGUUAAUCGGAAUUACUGGGCGUAAAGCGCGCGUAGGCGGCUUUGUAAGUCGGAUGUGAUAGCCCCGGGCUUAACCUGGGAAUUGCAUUCGAUACUGCAGAGCUAGAGUAUGGUAGAGGGAAGUGGAAUUUCCGGUGUAGCGGUGAAAUGCGUAGAUAUCGGAAGGAACACCAGUGGCGAAGGCGACUUCCUGGGCCAAUACUGACGCUGAGGUGCGAAAGCGUGGGGAGCAAACAGGAUUAGAUACCCGCGUAGUCC
rnacentral:rRNA from 1 species